rnacentral:lncRNA from 1 species
AACUCAGGUGGUGGCGUCACCGGAAACCAACAAAAUCGUGGUGAAUUGAUCUGGCUUUUCACGGCUUCGAUCUGCAGCUUUUCGAACACUUUCCGGCGACAAGGAUGGCAUGGAGAUGACCGGCAUUGCAUGAGCUUCCGAUCUGUACCAACCUUGGCUGGUGGAGUGGCCGGAAACGGAAACGGCAUGCGGGUCGGGUUUGCGGGUUUGGUUUGACAUGGAGAUGACCGGCGUCGCACGAUCUUUCGAUCGGUACCAACCUUGGUUGGUGGAGUGGCCGGAAAUGAAAACAGAAUCCGGAUUGGGUUUACGAGUUCGGGUUGAUCCAAUUCUUUUCCUUGUUAAUUAUUUAAUCUAAAAAUUAUAAAGAGUGGGGUAUUGUGAUAUAGGUAUAAUAUAGAAUAAAAAUUUAUAAAUAAUAAAUAAUACAAGGUGCUAAUUAAAAUAUUUAUAUGGAUGUAGUAGAUAUUAACUUAAUAUUUGUAAAGUAAAGCUUAAAUAAAAAUGAGUGAAGGGGUUAUAACACAAAAUUUACAAUAACACAGCCAUAAAAAACAAAAUAAGUGGCACGGUACCACAAUGGUACCGUAGCCGGAUCCUAUAUAUAUAUAUAUAUAUAGAGGUAAAUGUAAUCCCUAUCUUACAUGCAUGUAAAAUAUAUUUCCCUCAUAUGAACAAUAUAUGUGUGGAAUUCACGUACUGUUUAUGUAAGAGAGAUAUAUCUUACAUACAUGUAAGAUAUGAGGAUCCAUGAAUCUAAUGUUAUUAGUUUAAAUAAUGGGUGCAACUCAUGUUUUUGAAACAUUAAGAUCUUUAGCCAUUCUCUUAUUAUCCCGUGGUUAUUUAAGUUAAAAGAGACAGUAAAAAAACAACGUCAUAUUUUAAUUACUUACACUAAAUAAAUUACUCACACUGAUGCCGCGACUGCCGCUUGCUUUUUUUCUUUUUUUUGCCCUUUUGAUUUUGACUUUUGCUUUUACUUUUUGACUUUUGCUUUUCGUUUAUAAUAAUAAUAAUAAUAACUACUUUUUAAUUUAAUAUAAUAUUAAAUAAUAUUUUUAUUUUUAAUUUUACAUUAUAAUUAUUAAUAUAUAAUUUAUUAUUUAAUAUUAUUAUAUUAUGUUUUUUAUUUUUACAUUAUAAUUUAUAAAUAAAUUUAUAAUUUAUUAUAACUAAUAAUAAAUAUUUAAAUUUGAAUAAAUUUAAAUAAUAUUAAUUUAAAAUUAAUAAUAAUAUAAAAUAUUAAUACAAUUUAAAUAUAAUAUAAUAUUUAAUUUGAAUUAAUCACAAAAAAUUAAUACAAUACAGUGUAGCACCAAACAUUGUACAUUAUUAUUAUAAUACAGUACUAAUACAAUGCAACAUAAUAUAAUACACCAACAUUAAAAUAAUACAAUCUAAUAUAAUAUAAUACAGUGUGCGAAAUGCACCGACAUGGUAUUACUUUGUUUGUCUUGUUAUUUACAAUUAUUUAAUCUGUAGACCCACUCAUGCUCCUUCUAUGUAACAUAGAUACAAUUUGAGGAAGAUUAUCAAUUUUUUUCUGAUUAAAAAUAAUAUAUACUACUUAUUUUUUAUUGUUUUUAUAAUGUUCAACAAUCCGCUUGAGAUAAAAAAAAUUAAAUGAAAAGGAGGAGUAAAUAGAUGAUUUACUUGAUGUUGUAUCUUAGAAAUAUAAAAUAUAUUUAUUUAUUAUUAAAAAUAUUUAAAAAUAAUAAAGAGUACAUAAAAAGUAUCUUAUCCUCAACAACAAGAUCAGACGACGUCAAUUCAGCAAAAUGACUUGAAUAACUUGAAAGUCUAGCAGCCGUCACCUCUAGGCGCACACAUGGCAACGUGCGUGGCUUUGGCAAGAGGUCUCCCAAAAGGACGAUUAAGAAAAGAUUGCAGGACAAAUCAUGAAAAUAGUAGUACAGAUAUGCAAUGGCUAAAUUUCCUCUAUUAAGUCCAUCGCAAUCAAGUCUUAGAAAUCACACCCCUGUAUUAAUUUCCAGAAAUAUGUUUGUUCCAUAUUCAUCGUGCACGUAUAUAUUGUAUGUAUUGGGAAUAGAAAGAGUAUGUAAAAAUUCUUCAUUCAUGGAUUAAAACUUAAUUUAUGUACGAGGGUUAAGUGUAGUGUUUUUAAAUUUAAAAAGGACAAGUGUCAAUCCACUGAGGCUUGCUUCAAUGGCUAGAGCCACACUCCCUCACAAAGUGGUUCGAUCUCCCACAAAUACAUUAUAGAGGUUUAAUUUAAAUUUUUUUCUUAAAUUUUGAGUGAAGACAGUCUUUCUUCCAGAAAUAGAAUUUUUCUGAGAGUUUGACGCCCCUCGAAUAUUUGAGAUGAUUAAAAUUUGAGCGGUGCUAUAUAAAAUAUAAAGUAAACUAAUCUAAAUAAUUGUAUAAUUAUAAAUAUAAUGAACAAUAGUCUCAUACAAAAAAAUGACAAGUGUAGUAAGUCCAUUUAAAUUAACUUAUAUUUGAGGGGAAAAUCUCUGUAUAUCAUAGUAUAUAUUAUAUAUCCAGUCGUGGGACCCAUACAUGGUUCCAUGUAAUUCGCACAGUUGAACUGGAGACACUGAUUAGUUCGUUGUCUAUUUACCAACUUAUGUACAACUAAGUAAUUUCAUGCACCAUUUGCGCCUUAUCUAUCCAGCCUGCUUGCAUUGCAUUAACUAAACAUACAAUGAAAUUAACCCUUGUAAUUUCGGCCUUUGCCAUAGUCGUUUUGUUUAUUAGGUUUAUGUUUAUCAACAUGAUAUAUUGUCAACCAUAAUCACAAUCAGGUUGUUAAUUAUUUUUAAAUAAUGUGAAGGAACAAGAUUUUGGUCUUUGAGUGUGGAGUUAAAAAUAUCUCACCUCAAUAUACGGUGUUGUGCUCUCAUCAUCGUAAUAUUAUUUGUUAAAAGUAUGUCAAAGAGGAAAGCAGAUUCAAACAUUACUUCAAUUUUCUUUAAGAGCAUAAAAAAAUCGUUAAUAGGCUACUGUUAUUUGUUAGUACGAUUUCACAAAAGGAAGCUAGAGGAAGAUGAAGCUUUCAAGUCAUGUAUGCAUCAAAGGAAGAAACAGAGCUAACGAGAUAUGGACAAUUUUAAAUUUGUCAGCAUUUUGUCAGUUCUGGCCAUAUUUUGAAAGAUUAGCACCCUAAUUUUCUUUUAAAGCUCCUUUUCUGUCGAAAUCUAUUUCAAUUUCCAAAAUAUCUUUUUUCAUUUUUUUAGUUUCUUUCUGAUUCCAAAAAAAAAAAAAAUCAGUUUCUUAAACAACUCCAACUACAAAUAUUUUUUUUUACAAAUUUUUGAAUUAUUAAAUCAUAUGUGUGUGUAUAAAUUGAAUAGAAUUAAAAGUGGACUCAAAUAGCUAUUAUGUAAUUUUUUUAUAAUUAAAGAAAAGUUUAGAAUGCAAAAGUGUGUGUGGGAAAACAAAAAAUAUAAAUUGCCUUUGAUAUAAUUAUAUAAAACGGGUAGGUUUUAUAAGAAUUUUUUAGAGGAGUGCCAAUAUUUCAACUCUUUUUCAAAUAAAGUGAUGUCCUGGAAUAAAAUCACUACUCUAUCAUUGCUAUUAGUUUGUCUUGUAUUUCAAUAAUUGCCGACAAGUAUUAAUUGUGAAUAUUAUUAUUUUAAAAAUAUUAUUAUUAUUAUCGUCGUUAUUCUUAACAGCAAUGACUAGAAUUAUAAUAAGAACAAUAACGUUAAUACAAUAAUAUAACAACAUAAUAAUAUUUUAAUUGAGAGGAUAAGAAUGAAAUUAUGAAAUUUAGGUUGGGUAAAAACGAUGAGUAUGAAGAAAUUAAAUUACCAUUUUUUAAGCUAAACAGUUCAUAAAUUCCACAUAUUUCAUACUUAUUUCUCUUAUAUUUUAACAAGUAAACAUUAUCAAUCGUUUAAUAUUUUAAUUAAUAAACACGGCAUUAACUACGGAACUAAAAGAUCCCAAAAAAAAAAAAAAAACACAGAAAGGCGUGUAUGUAUUGCUUGUGACAAAUCUCACCCAUGGAAAACUUUGUGAAAGGCAUUUGAAUGUGUGGCCACAUUAGCCUGAUGAUUGCAAUUAGUUUGUCUUUUAAUUAAAUUAUUGCCGACAAACACUAACACGACCCACGUCCGCUACUUGUGUUAAUGUGUGUAUAAAUAUCCGCAGCAUAUUAUCAAACCUGAUGCGUGAUCCUCUUUAACUUUUGGUUAGGGUUCAUCAGACGUUAGAAGACAUCUUUUCUAAUUUGAAGAAGAUGGAAACUCCUUAUCCAUGUUCUUAGGCCAUGUUCAAUUGAAUCUCAUUUAUAAUUUUUAUUUUAAUAUUAUGUAUUUAUGAAUACAAUUAUUGUUAUGACUUUUUUAGGUAAGAAUGGAUGGUCUGAGGGUAACCCAAUAACUAUGUACAGUAUUAUUAAUGAUGAGAGCGUGAAUGACAAUUUGGAUUUUUUUCUCGUCCCUCAAUACGGAAGAAAUCUUGACCAUAGCGGUUAAGUGCUAUGUAACUCUUUCGUAUUAUGUUUAAUUAAUAGUAAAAUGAUGGGUUAUUAUUACCUGUCAAUUACGUGAGUGUCUUUGUUUGGUUUAGUUCAACUUAUAUAAUCUCUUGAGAUAUACAAGAGAUUUUCUUUAUUUACUUUCAUGUACCGCGUCUUCUUGUAAAAAGAAAUUAAUAAAAAAAAUAUCAUUGUGUGCAAUGUAUUGACUAAGUUAGUGUAUUCAUGUUAGCUUAAUUGUGCUCUCUCUUCUUGGUUAAAACAAACUCCACAUAUUGUUGGUUAGCUAAUUCUUGCAGCUAGCAAGUGAUCCUUUUCUUUCCCCUACUGCUGUAGCAUCAAAUCCUUACCAUUACAUAUCAAGUGGUAUUCGAGCCGUCAAAUGAUCCAUGGAAACGCGCAACAAAUCAAAUGCUGAAUUUUGCGAAGAGAUUCACGAAAUCCUUGCUGUACAUGAGUCUAGUUUAUUUCAAACUACGCGUGCAAUGUUCCCGUUAUUGUUUAGUAUGUCUUUUGUUGUUUGCAAUGUAGUUAGGGAUGUUAGCGGGUAGGAUUUGGUACGGGUUUGAUAUUACCAAAAGCUGCAUUUGUAAAAAAAUUUUAAUUAUCAAAUUCAUUGUGGGUUUUAUUUAUUCUUUUAACAAAGCCCAUCAGCUGUGGGUUUAAAUGGUACCUGAUGGAUAUUUUGUGAGUUCCCACGUAUAAAAUCACACUUGCAACAAAACCUAAAAACUUAAAUUACGUAAUUCAAAUUAUAAAUUUAUAAUCAUAGUCUAAAAAACCACAUAAAAUACUUAAUUCUAGAUUUUAUCAAUGUAAAUGAGAAAUGAAAGUUUUAAUAUUAAAAUAAAUACACAAAAUAUAUCAAUUUAACACAAAUUUUCAAAAUUAAUUAUCAAAUACGUAAGUCUAUCGCAACUCAAAGUGCUUUCAAUUGAAAACGAAAAAGAGAAAGAGAAAAAAAACAAAGAACUACAAAUCAAAGUAGCACCCAUGACCCAUUUUGCAGUCUCAUUCAAUACCACUAGCACCCAUCCAACACGAUUUUUCUAAACAAAGUAUAAAGUACAAAAUUACAAUAAGCAUAUCAUACUCCAUGCUUUAAGUUAAAGAUCCUAAUAUAUUUUUAUGAAUAAUUUUUUAAUGAAAUUUUAUGAUUAAAAUUAAAAAUACAAACAUUCAAAUAAGAAUGUCGGACACUUGCGUAACUAUUUACCAAAUUUUUUCUCUAUAAAAAUCGACCUGCAACUUUCAAUAGGUUUAAAUUUAUAAUAUCAAACCUAAUUGCAGCUCGCAAAAAUUAUCCGUUGCGGCCAAGACUUUGGAUUUGCGAUGAUUUUGCCACCCUAAGUGUAGUUAGUAUUGUAUAUCAUGUGGCUCUUAUAAAAAGCCUAGAAGUUGUUUAAAUAACGGGGGAGACACAUAUCUCCCAAAGAUUUUCUCUUUUUCAAAUUAUUAUUUUUUCUCUAUUAUUGUAACUUCGAAUCCUUAUAAAUUACAGAUUGGAGACAUGAACACAAUGUUUUGACAUAGUAGACUUUUGGCUUGUCCAGAGUAAUUUAGGAUAGAUUUUUACGCACUAAGGCUCUAUUUACUAUUGAAGUUUUAGANNNNNNNNNNNNNNNNNNNNNNNNNNNNNNNNNNNNNNNNNNNNNNNNNNNNNNNNNNNNNNNNNNNNNNNNNNNNNNNNNNNNNNNNNNNNNNNNNNNNUAAAUAUAUAAUCCCAAGAAAACCAGUAAUAAUAAUGGAAUCCUCCGUAAACAAAUAAUUAAAUAAUAGCAAAUAAUAAGUGGACAAAGCUAAGUUCCAGAGAUGAUAUAGGAAAUUCUCCCGCACGACACGGCAGAAACAAACUUUCCCUUUCAUUUUCUUUUCUCUUUCUCGCUCUCCAAACAGAGCAAAAGGACCGUGGCAAGAUUCUUCACUUCCAUCCAAAAUCAUGAGCAACGAAUAGUGAGCCUCCCUGUUUCCUUCCUUUUUUUGAUAUUAACCUUGUUAACAUAUACUCAUUUUAAUUUGACAAUACUUCAACUUUUUUUAUUUUUUUGCCUUUUCAUUUUUUUUGUUGAAGCAAUUAUCUGUUCAAGCUGUUGCUCAUCGGAGACUCGUCCGUCGGAAAGUCUUGCCUGCUGCUCCUAUUUGCUGUCUGUUGACUUUUCCUUUCCCUUCUUAUUUUCUUUUUUUAUAUUAAUUACUUUCUAUUUUAGCUUUUUGUUCUCUGAAUUUGUGUUAUUAAAAUGAUAAUUUAGAUGAUAAAUAAUUGUUAUUCUUGUAAAUUUCGGUUUUCAUUACGUUAAUUGUUAGUUUUUAGGUUUAUUAAUGUAAUUUUUUUUUUCAAUUUUUCAGGAUGAUUCUUAUGUCAUAGCUACAUCAGUACCAUUGGAGUUGAUUUUGUGAGUCUCUCUUCUAUAUAUAUGUAUAUAUGUGUAUAAGUUAUAAUAUGAGUCUAUGUACGUGUAUGUAUGUAUGUGUAUGCAUAUGGGGAAAGAAAUGUUGGCAGACUUCAGCAUUUUACUCUUUUUUUUUUUUUUUUGGCAGAAAAUAAGAACUGUGGAGCUGGAUGGGAAGACGAUCAAACUGCAGAUUGUGAGUCAAAAUUUCCUUUUAUCUUGUAUUGAGAGAAAUUCGAUUUGUCUUAUUUAGUGAAGGUUAUUUUCAAGAACCUUGUCUUAUUUUCUUUGUUUGAAGAGUGGUAUGUUGAAAUGAGUGUAUUUGUCUUAUAAACAUCAUUUAGGUAAUGUCUUAUGUUUGAUUGUUUUUAAUCUGUUUAGUGGGACACUGCUGGACAGGAGCGUUUCAGGACUAUAACUAGCAGUUAUUACCGAGGAGCCCAUGGAAUCAUAGUAAGGAGCCUUCCCGUUCUUGGUUUAAAUCAGAAAGUUUGUGAUUUACAUGUGACAUCUUAACAGCAUUGUAUGUGUUUAUUAACUUAUUUUUCAUCUUUCAUUAAGCAGUACAUUUUCCAAUAAAUCUGUAUACAAGAUGAUGUAGUCCAAGAAUGGGAGCCAUAAUAUGAUGCAAAUUGUCUAAUAAAUUCUUAUGACAUAUGAUGUUGUCGGAAGUAAAAGUCUUGCAAUGCUGUAUUCUCUUUUAAGAAAGAAUAAGUGGUAAUUUUGUUUUUCCAAUUUUUUAAUUGAGCAACUGUAUGAGAUUAAUUAAAUGUGUUGGGAUUUCAACAGAUUGUCUAUGAUGUAACUGGGAUGGAGAGCUUCAAUAAUGUCAAGCAGUGGUUGAAUGAGAUUGACAGAUACGCAAAUGACAGUGUAUGCAAGCUUCUAGUUGGGAACAAAUGCGAUUUAGUUGUGAACAAGGUUGUGGACACACAGACAGCCAAGGUAUAUUCAUGACUUUUGUCGCCUGAACUUUGAAUAUAAUUUUAAACUCUUCUCAAGUGCAUUUGCUUGGUAAGUUUCUGCAUACCCAGGACACUCAAACUUUGGACAGUCUGUAUCUCGAGUUGGAAUCUUUUCUGUCAAUACGACUUGUUAAAAUAAGGGUUAUUAUUGUUUGAAUCAUUCAAGAAUUGCAAUAAAUCUAAAGUCCAUAAAAAAUAUGAUUCCAUCAUUUUACUAUUAUAUCUAGACAAAAUCCAUUAUUUUACUACAUUUCAUUGGCACCGAUAGUUGACCUGUUGGCUGACUGAUAAAAUAUCAAUUUUGCACUUUAUAUUAAUUAUUUUUUGGUUAAAAAAUAACACACAAAGUAUUACAAUAUUAUAAAUUCAAAAUAUAAAGUAGUUAAAAAUAAUUCCUAUUAGCCUAUGAAUAUAAUAUUUGAUACCUCUAUUUGUGUAAUUUUUUUCCAAUGGUGAAAUUGUUAUUUUUUUUGUACUAACGGAAAUGUAGUAAAAUCAUAAGUUUUGUAAAGAUAUAGUAGUAAAAUGAUAGACUAAAAUACUUCUUGUAGUUGUUUGAUAUAUUGUAAUUCUUAAAGUAGUCAAUUGAUAAUAUCCCCUAAAAUAAAUGUUCGUAAUAUGUUCUCAUUUUAAUGCAACUGAUUGUUUAAUAAAAUUGUAUUUCUUUGUUAAUCUUUUAUCAUGUGCAUGCUCAGUGAGAAUUUGACUUACUAGAACACAAGUUUGACUUUUCAUUUAAAUGUCUCUUGUAUCAUAUCCUUCAAUGUUGAGUGUGAUUCCAAUAAAAUUGAGUAGGGAGAUCCUUAAAUACCUUUUCCUUUUUUCCAAGGGCCUGCCAAAUUGCUCUAAGUGGCUCUACCCUUUAUCAAUGAAUAAUGAAAAUAAAAUUUUUAUUAAAGCAUUUUGUUCCUUAAAUGGUGACUAAUAGUACCCCUUUUUUUGGAGAGGAAAGCCAAACAUGCCCAAAGAGAAUCAUUUACUUUCCUCUAAUGUAUUUUCUAAUUCGUUUUGAGCCUUGAAUGUCUGUUUUGGUGCGUAUUCUCAUUCCAUGUCGAAUCUUAUCCAUAUGGACAACCCCACUUACAAAAAAGUCUAAUGAAUCUAUUGAAGUUCAUAUGAGGUUUGUGCUUUAGAUUUAGACCUCUCUCUCUCUCUCUCUCUCUCUCCACUUACAUGUCUUUCACUUACCUGUUUGCAUGCACGCCCAUGCACACACUUUCAAGAUAAUACACGGUCACUCGUACUUGUGUUUUGGUUGAAUUACUGGCUGCUAACCUCUGUAAUUCAGUUUGAAACUUGCCACCCUUAGUGCUUCACUCAAAUGGUUGGUUAGGGUGAGAUCUGUAUCGUUUUCCUGGUCUCUUUCCAAGGUUAUCUAAAGGGAUUUGGCAGUCUGAUUCUUUAGGGAAUAUCAUUGCAUAAGAUAUCUAUUGUUUGUUAAUGAAUAAUUUCUAUUUAACUAGUUAUCUAUAUAAAUUGGUAAAUUUUAACUGCAUAAUUUGCAUGCAAUAAGAUUUUAUAAGAAUCUUGUUUUCAACUCAUGACUUAGACUAAUGUGAUAUGUUGAGCAUUAAGCUACAAGAUCUGAACAUCAAAGUGCUUCACAAUGUUAAGGAGAAAGCAUCUUUUUCUGCUUCUUCAUGUGAUUUAAAGUUUCCAAGGUACUUAUUCUAUAAAAUAUCUUUCAAGACUUUGGAAAUGCUUUUAUGUAUGACUGAGAGAAACUUGUUGGGUUGGUUUUUAGCAACAGACGGAGUUAUGGACUUUGUGUUGACUUGUUAAUGAUUAAGACAGUACAUCGGCUGAUCUAUUGGCAUCAAGCAGCAGAUGCAGAAAUUAUGGGUGGCAUGUCAUUGUAUCCAAAUAAUGUACUACAUUGAUUUUUCUGACUUUCUGUUGGUCUCCGAGUGAAAUGCAGGCAUUUGCAGAUGAACUGGGGAUUCCUUUCCUGGAGACGAGUGCCAAAGAUGCAAUCAAUGUGGAGCAGGCUUUCUUGACCAUGGCCGGUGAGAUUAAGAAAAAGUAAAAUCACUUAACUCUUUCCUUCUUGCCGACUGUUCUUAUUCAACAAUCACCAUUAUUGCUGGUUAUGUGCAUUGUGAUGAAAAUUCUGCAAUGAAUAACUUUUUACCUAAUGUUUUCUGUUGGAACAAAUUACUCUGGUAGAAAAGCCCUACAGGGUUUGAGAAAUCCCAUGAUGUGAUGAUUGUGAGCAUUUUAGACACCGUGUAUGGGUUUAUUUUGUGACUAUAAAAUGUUAAGAUUGUUUCUAGUUUUGGUUUGUAGUGCAUAAAAGGAUUCAAAAUUUGACAUCUGUCUAAAUCAGAUUAAUAACAUGAUAAUGUACAUAUGCAAGAUGUGAGGAAUUGUUUUAUCUCACCCCUAAACUUUAAGAAAUUGAAACAUUAUCAUUCAAAAUAUUUACCAUUUCCAGAAUUGAUAGUUAGUCUAUUUGAGCAGUGACUGGUGGUUAUCAUGAACUGAUGUGUGGUUGUGGUGUCAAAUCUUGGUGAAACCUGUUGUCAUCUGCCGGUUAACAUAGCUAGUCUCUGAAAUAAUUUCUUGAUUCACUAAUUAUGAGUUCAAAUUUGAUGCAGAAUGGGCAACCAGCCUACUGCAAACAAAUCUUCUGGAACAGUUCAGAUGAAGGGACAGCCAAUCCAGCAAAACAGCAACUGCUGUGGUUAGCCGAGCAUCUUAUUUUACUUCUACAUGUUAGCUGACUGAUUGUAUACAGUUUUAACUAUGUUGACUGCAUUAUCUUAUGAGUCUUUUAAUAUGUCAAAUAUUUAUUUCCUGCUUUAAGUUCUUUCCGUUUAUAACAAAUUUAAUUUCUUGCUUCAUUGCAUUCCAAAUUCCUGUCAAUUUACGAGGGAAAAAGAAAAGGGAGACGAAAUCGGAGAAAAUGCUCAAAUUUGUUUGUUUAUUGUCGUGACCCUCUUGUAGCUUGUCUAUGACCUGGAAGUCCGGUCAUAUCGGAUGGGUAAAGUUACCAAAACGGCAUCAUUUUGGGUGAAAUAUCAUAUUUGAUAAUAUUUUUAUGCAACAAAAAAAUGUUCGCAGUACCCUUUUCACAUUGUGAAGCGCAUGAUCGGAUGAGAGCAGUCUGGAUUCUGGCAUCACAAGCUAAUGCUUUGAUUUGCUUAGUUUGUUUUUUGUUUCUGAUAUUUUCUUGGCAUUGGGUGGGAUAUUGUUUCUCUUUUGAGUUUCCUUUUUUUUUUUUUUUUGAUUAUGGAAUUUGGAGAUAGUGUACAUGUAUGAAGAUGACGUAAUCAAGUUGUUUUGAUAAAUUUCCCUGGUCGGUUUACUUCACUAACCAUUAAUGCGCAAAACCUCCUGAUGACCCUAAAAAAUCCCGUACAUAAUUAAAGAAUUUCAAUUUUAUAUGUACAAAAAUAAAUAACUCUCAAAUAUAUUAUUUGAUAAUUCCAAAAACAACUAUUCACUCUAAUAAAUCUCGUAGGAAAUACAUGGUCUAUAUUGUAAGUCUUUUCGAGACUAAUUCAAAAUACGAAGGACAUAUAAUUGACCUCUACAGAACUCUAAAUAUCAUAAAGAACUUUAAAUAAAUUUAUAUACGCAUCACAAUUAAUUACAGCCUUGAUACUUCAUUUGGUUUUUGUUAAUUUUCUAUACAGUUGUGCUGUGCAUAAAAGUUUUGUUAAAUGAAAUCGGUAGGUGAGGGUUAAUUAAUCAAUUAAUUAAGAUCCAGUUAAUGUAAUUAAUUUUAUUUGAUUUUUUUAAUUCGAGUUCUAAAUUAAUCAAUUAAUUUAGAUUCAUGUGAAAUUGAAGUGAAUUAGUUUCGAUCUGUUUUUGGUCCUAUGUUUGUAUGUGUUUACUCUUACUUUUCUUUUUGUUUAAAUUUUCGUUUUCUUAUUUUUUCCUGAAUAAAUUUCUGAGCUUUAUUUGAGUAUGAUGAUUGAUUUGUGAUUUUAAUUUGUGACUUUUUUUUUUGGAAUUUAAAUCUGAAUGCUUUUUAAGUUGAAUCUGAAUGUGUUGGGCUGCGAUUUAAUUGAGUGAUGUGUGAGCGCAAAAUAUACAAUAACUGAUAAAUUAUAUUUAUAAAUAUUAAUAGCGAUGGCACAUAAACAAUUAAUUCAAGAACUCGCCCAAAGUGCAUUAAUUUGAAGAGUAUAAAUAACAUUGCAAUACAAUCUAGCCCUUACGUGUUUAAUUAGCAAUUACACGAACAUUAUAACACUCUGUUGCUGAUGCGGCAGCUAGUAAUUCUUCUGGUGAAGAUAUUAAGGCUGUUAAAGCUAAAAUGUAAUCAGAGAAAUAUAAUGCAUUCCCUUAGUUUGCUUUUUGUUUUUGAUAUUUGUUUGGCUAAUGCUUUGCUUAGAUUGCUUUUUGUUUUUGAGAUUUUAUUGGCUUAGUCAUGGUAUAUUGUUUUCUCUUCUAAUUUUCUAUUUUUGUCGUUAUGGGAUUUGAUGAUGGUGUACACAUACGAAAAUUAUGUAAUAAAGUGCUUUCAAUAAAUCAUGGUCGGUUUACUAUUAAUUAAUUAAAUUUAAUUAACUCAAAUUACUCUUGUACACAACCAAAAUAAUUUCAAUUCUACGAUAUGUAUACACACGCGCACACACAAACAAAAAGUAAUUAACUUUCAAAUAUUUGCCAUGCUAUUUUAAUAAAUAGUACUUGAGAAUAUAUAUAUCCAACAGGUAAAAUUUCAAAACAAUAUUUGCCGAAGUCUGAUGAAGAGAAUAUACACGCACACACAUAUAUAACCGUACAGCAGAAGGAUAAAUAAAAGAAAAUAAAGUUUCAACAGCUGAAUAAUGCAAACUCAUUUUUUUUAACAAGCAUUUUAUUGUUUAAUUUAAAAAAUUCGAAAACCGAUUGGUCUUAUAUACAUGAUAAAGACUCACCGACGCCGAACCAUAUUCAUUUAAAUUAGUUUUCAACUGAGAUUUGAAUUUUGAAAUUACAUACACAAACACGCUCAAUUUAAAAAUAAAAAAUAGUAAUUAUAAAAUAUUUCUGUCGUCCUCCAUUCAAUUAUCAAAAAACGACUUUAUAAUCGAUUUUAACAUAAGGUAUAUGGGUUAACAAGUCCCAAUAUUGUCCUCCAUCCUUUCUGCACUUCUCUUCUAUCAACGGACAUCUCCAGAUCUGUAAUUGCAAAAGUGAGGAAGGCAGGCCCUUCUCCGGAAAGUAUUUAAGCUUGGGACAUCCAUGGAGUCGCAAUUCAGUGAGGUUUUGAAGAUCAACAAUUGAAGAAGGUAGGCGUUCCAGAUUUGAAAAUAAAAGAAUGCUCAGAGAUGUUAGAGAGGCAGGAAGAGGAAGCGCGGUCCCUAAUCUUUUGUCCUCUAGUGGAAAUGACACCAUGUCGUCAUAACAUCCUCCGAUUUCUAGAUGUCGCAUAGAGGAGAAUCUGUGAAAUCCCCGACCCCGCUCAACCAUUGACUUCCAAAUCUCCAUAUUACCCCUGAUAUGAAGUGACUGAAUCUUGGUGGGAAGGCCAUCUUCUUCAAGGCUUGGAAGCUCACCUCCUAUUCUUAAUUCUUGAACAGAAGUCAGGUUGUGCAAUCCCUUGGGUAAGGCCUCUAGUCUCUUGCACCAACGGAUACAGAGCUUAGUGACUUUCGCACAAGGCAGUCCCCCUUCGGGAAAGGACACCAGAUUUCCACACCUCUCUACACUAAUCUCUCGAAGCUGGUGGAGAUUAUGUAAACCACUCGGUAAAAUUUUCAGAUUUUCACACUCAGAAAUGUAGAUAUCUUCAAGAGAUGUGUUGUUGUCCAACCUUUCUGCUAUUGACUCCAGAUUUCCACACAUCUGUAUACUAAUCUUUCGAAGCUGGCGGAGAUUAUGUAAACCACUCGGUAAAAUUUUCGGACUUUCACAAUUAGAAAUUCUGAUUGUUUCAAGGGAUGUGUUGUUGUCCAAUCUUUCUGCUAUUGACUCCAGCUUUGAACAUCCAUAAACAUCAAGGGACUUAAGAGACGAAGGUAGAUUGCCAACUUCAAGGGACUCAAGCGUGGCAGGUAACUCGUUUUGUGAAAAUAUACAUGUCAGUGAUGGACAAUCCCUAAUUUCCAACUCCUCGAGAAGAGAUGAGGUGUACCUUCUGCCGCUGCUACUCUGGAUGCCCUCUUCCACUGUCAAAGUCCUUAUAUUAUCGCAACGCCAGAUCUUCAACUUCUUAAGGCUCGAUGGUAGCUGGACAGCAGCAAUAUAUGUCAACGAACAACAAUACUGAAUAUUCAAGAUCUCGAGAGACGAAUGGGUGUCGCACAUCCAUGCCUCUGGUAACGAUUUCAGUGCAUCACAAUGCCCAAUCUGAAUUUCCUUCAACUUGGAAGGCAGAGCAACCUCAGGAAACGAAACAAGGGAACUGCAGUUGUAGAUUUCUAUCUCUCUCAAGGAACUGAGGCUGAACGAUGAUUGUGGCAGCUUCACAAGGCCUUCGCAUCGGUUCAAUUCUAGAUAUUCAAGUCUGCUUGACAAUUCGCAGAGCUGCUGUUGUUGGUCUUUCUCUUCCUCCGCCACCAAGGAUUGAAGUUUGGGACAGCUGUCAAUCGUCAGUCUUUUGAGAGAGCAAAUGUCUUGCAGUAAUUCGUUAUGACUCUUCCAUAUAUAUGUUUCAUUUUUAAUAUUAUUUAUCCCCAAUUUUUCCAGUUUUGGUAGUCGCGGCUUCAAUGGCCCUGCGAGAAACACUUGAUUUGAUGCAUCUCUACAAACCACUGAAUUCUGUGAGCCGAGAUGAUCGGUUGCACUUCUCCACACAACCUUUUUACAUCCAUUAAUCUCUAAUUUGCAAAGAGCUGGAAGACUCGUAACUGAAACUGACAAUUCUUCACAUCCUCCAAUAACAAGCAUCUCCAAUGCAGGAAGGCAUUCUGGCAAUGUUCCUUGUAGUUUAGAACAUCUUGAAAUGCGAAGCUCGCUCAAUUUCGGAAACCCUUCAACUCCCUGACCAGAUCUAAGAGGAAUCCAGUCUUCCCAUUCUUGCAAGUCUUCAAAACAAAGAGUCUCCAAGCAUGGAAAAGGAAUCGGGGAAUCAUUCCCAUAGAACUCUGAACCCAAACUCUUUACUCUACUCAUUCCACUCACUUCAAGAUGCUUUAGAGAGGGUAGUUGCCCGACUGACGGCAGGGUAGUACACACGCCGCAAUCUUGAAAAUCUAAGGUCGCUAAAUUUGAGAAUAAGGAAUCUCCCAACCAAGUUGGAAAUUCUUUACCUCCAUAGCCACCGAUACAAAUUUGUUCCAGAUUUUCAUGAGGUUUUAGCAUGUCGAGCACAUCCUUUUCAGUUUCUGCCUCCCUUGAAGACAAACCAUCGGUACUCCGUGUCCAUCGAAACCUUAACACUUUAAGAUUCUUCUUUCCAUUCAAUUGAGCCUCCUUUGCAUCACCAAUGUCUUUUACGUUCUCCAAUUUUGAAAUGUUAAGUGUCCCACGAAGAUGCGUCAACAAUUUUAGCUCUCGUAUCCCGGAACCACUGUCUUUUCCCACAACAAAAUUACACAGCGUCUGAAGGCAAGUCAACUUACCAAUUCCUAGUGGCAUCUCCUCCAAUGAACCUGUAUAUGAAUUAUUGAGAUGAUGCAAUUUGAUGAGAUUUCCCAUGUCUGCACACAACUUCUUCAGUCGCAGACAGCCCUCCAACAGAAGGGUGUGCAAAUUGUAAAGCGUGUUGACUGAUUCAGGCAGAGUUAUAAUGCCAGUUCGCGAUAAGUUAAGGUACCUUAAAUACCUCAAAUCACUAAUUGAAUCCGGUAGCUCAGAGAUUUGAUAUCCAUGCAGUGAGAAAACCCUCAACCGUUGGAGUUUGAACAACAUAGGAAGAAUGCUACGAGCCAAGUAUCCACGCGAACUAUUUGACUGCAUUACUCGUAAAAAUGUUCGCAAAUGUUGGAUAUCGUACAAGCCCUCAAACCUUUUAACGCCAUCAUAUUUUCCACAAAUGUACGAUAGAUGACGAAGAUUUUUGGAAAAACUUUGUUGCUUGUUAACCUCUGAGGUAUACUCCAUUGUGAAGUAUAUAUCCCCCGCAGCCCAUUGAGCAAGGUCGUUGACAAGGUCAUGCAUCACAAAUCGUGAUUUAUUGUUGCUUGAUUGCUGGAAAAAAGAUCUUGAACGUAGCUCUUGAAAGAACUUUCGACCUAGAUCUUCAUUAGGAUUCCCACUCUCUUUGUGAUCCAAGAAACCCGAAGCACACCAUAAUAAAAUUAUCUCCUCCUCUUCAAAUUCAUAAUCCUUUGGAAACAAUGAGCAGUAUGCAAAGCAUUGUUUCAAAGGUGCCGAAAGAUAAUAGUAGCUCACUCUAAGCGCCGGUAUAAUGUCACAUCUCUCUUCUGGUAAAUCCCAUAUCUUGCAACUGAGCACACCUUCCCAAUCACUCCGGUCAAGUUUACCUCGUAAGAGUCCACCAAGAGUUUUCGCAGCUAAGGGCAAGCCGUUGCAUUUGAUCACUAUCUUCUUGCCAAUUUCCUCCAAUGGCUUGUUUGAACUGAAAUCUCUUGUCCCCAAAGAGUGUUGAGCGAACACAGACAGACAAUCAUCAUUUGACAGCUUUUUCAAUUGAUAAGCCGGAGCAGUCCCCAUGAUGGCUGCAACCCCUUGAUUACGAGCUGUGACAAUAAUCUUACUUCCCGGUGCGCCAGCUUCAAAUGGAAGUCUGAGUCGAUCCCAACCAUUGUAAUUCUCAUUCCAAACGUCAUCUAAAACAAGCAAAAAUUUCUUUUGAGAUAACUUCUUCUUCAGCUCCUCUUGAAGCAAAUUUAAAUCACUGUCAUCAGUAGUCUGCUUAGUAAUGGAUCUUAGAAUUGUUUUUGUUAGCCUGAUAACAUCAAAAUCAUCAGAGACACAAGUCCAUGCCUUGAGAUCAAAAUGACCCUGCACUCGAGCAUCAUUAUAGACAAGCUGAGCGAGAGUGGUUUUACCCAGCCCGCCCAUGCCUAUGAUAGGAAUAACAGAGAAUUCACCAUCAUUUCUCAAAUCAUCCCUCAACAACAAUUCAACAAUUUCCUUCUUUUCUGCUUCCCUGCCAAAUACCUUGGCUUCAUUCACCAAAGAGGUUGUGGGUAGUCUUUGCCUGCCUUUUCUGGACCUCCCAGCUGAACUUUCUUUCAAAUUCAGCAAGUCUUUCUCUGUUAGAAUUUCUUGAAAUCUGUCGUUGAUCCCUUUGAUUUUGGACAUCAAGGCGAAAUCGAACUGAAUCGAUUGCAGAGUAAAAGUGGUGCUGCAAGUAAGAAUGAGCUUCCGAAACUCACUUGUUCUUGUACGACUGCUACUGGGUUGAUCCUGAGCCGCAGCGGGAUCUCCAUUUCCAAGCAGCAACUUCCUCCGGAAAGCCUCAGUUUGAAACUCAUCCAACAAGUCUUCAACAUCAAAAGCCAAGUUCUGAAGCUCGCCAAGCCACAACUUCACAAUCUCAUCAGUCCUCUUCUUCUCCUCAGCAUCAGCAAGCACCGCCUUGAUCUUCAAAAGCAUCGCCUUCCACUUCAUUAGAUCGGCCCGGAUUUGAUCUUGGCGUGGAAACAACCGAAUCCCCACUGAAGCUAACUUAUAGACCAAUAACUCAACGGACGCCGUCAGGAUUGCCUCUCCGAUGAUUGACAUUUUUUUUCUUUUUUUUUUUGUUUUGCAAAGAAAGAAACAGAAUUUUGAGUUUUGAAAAGCAAAAUGAGAAAAUUGAACAGUAAGUGGGCAGAGUCAAGCAAAAUGCGCGUAACAAGUCUUCCGCUUAUUGUUUAUUCCAGUAAAGUGAAAAUAAAAACAGAGCCCACCACCCAUUAAUAAUUUAGCAAUUCACCAAUCACCAGUCACCACCACUCGUUACCAUGAAUAUAAUAAAUUGCACCUUGAUAUUUGCAGUGUCCAGCAACAUUGACCCAGUGUCCGGGUAAAUGCUGAAUAAAGAGGAAAAUGGAAUGUAUCCACUACGAACCUUCGCUUUACAAGUCUUCAAACUCAUAAACCAAGUUAAAUCAAAACGUUUAUCUCUCUCUCCCUUUUUGCCAUAUAAUUACUUUAUUUAUUGAAUUAAUUUCCAUGCUAAAACGAACACUUAAAAGUGCACUAUAAUUUUUUAUGAUCACAAUGGUAAUAAAUUUUUUUUAUAUGAACACUCUUUUUAUUUAUGAAUUUCUCAAUUUUUAAUAUUUUUCUCACUCUUUUAAUCUUAUUAUUUGUAUUUUUCUCUUUAAAUUUUCUUUAUUAUUUAAUUUUUAAAAAAAAUAUGAAAAAAAAAAUAUUAUACUUAAAAAAUAAUAAAUAUUUUAUGGGAGCUUAUUGACAAUGAAAGAGCACGUGAAAAAUCUCACUUCAUAUAAAACUUUGUGAAAGGCAUUUGAAUGUGUGGCCACAUUUUCCGAACGAAACGAUAAGGCUUUAGCCUUAUAUUUGCAAUUAGUUUGUCUUGUAACUAAAUUAUUGCCGACAAACACCAUCAUGCUGACAAACCGUGCAUGCACGUCCUCAAUCACCCACGUCCUCUACUUGUUUGAACCGUGAUUCUCAAAGACUUCGACAUCGUAUUUCCCAUUAUUUCCCGUACUUUAUGCAUUAUUGUUUUGUAUGGCUUUUGGUGUUUGCGGUGUAGUUAGGGAUGGUAGCGGGUAGGGUCUGGUACGGGUUUAACAUUACCAAACCCGCAUCUACAAAAAUUUUUAACAAAGCCCAUUUACUGUGGGUUUGGCUGGUGUGCCUAGAGCUGGCAAUAUUUGACACGAUCCGAUUAUCCGACACGAACACGACAUAAAUAAAUGGGUAUGGGUCGUCAAAUUUAACACGAUUAUUAAAUGGGUCGGGUCCGGGUCAACAUGAUUUUUUUCCGUGUCGGGUUUGGGUUAAAAUUCUUGACCCAUUUACCCGAUCAAUGACCCGAUUAUAUUUUCUAUCUUAAAAUAAUUUACAUAUUCUUAUCAUUAAAACUCAAAUAUUAGAGAUGAUUUUUUUUUAUUCUUUAAAAAGGUGAAUAUAAACACAGUGUUUUAUUUAUAAAAUUUUAAAUACAUUUAGAGCUUCAAUAGUGUAAAUGUGUAAAAAUUGAUAGACAUGUAUAUUUUAUAAUAUUGAUAUAUAAUAUUAUAUAUAUAUAAUUAAAACCUCAAUAGUGUAAAUGUGUAAUAUAUUGGUAGAUAUGUAUAUUUUAUAAUAUCGAUAAAUUAUGUAUGUUUGUAUGUACAUACGUAUGUAUGAUAGUGUGUAAAUAUUUGAUGUAACUUUUGUUCAAUAUAUAGAUAUUAAACGGGUUAUUGGGUAACCCGAUUAUUUUUCCGUGUCGGGUUUGGGUCUCAAUAUUUUGACACGAUUAUUAAAUGGGUCGGGUUUGGGUCGACCUAAAUUUGACACGACACGAAGCUGACACGACACGAACACGACCCGAUGACCCGUUUUGUCAGCUCUAGGUGUGCCUAGUGGAUAUUUUGCAAGUUCCCACUUAUAAAAUCAUGCUUGCAACAAAAUCUAAAAAUUUAAAUUACGUAAUUCAAAUUAUAAAUUUAUAACUGUUGCCUAAAAAAAACCACAUAAAAUACUUAAUUGUAGAUUUUAUCAAUGUAAAUGAGAAAUGAAAAUAUCAACAUUAAAACAAAUACACAAAAUAUAUCAAUUUAACACGAAUUCUCUAAUUCAAUUACCAAAUAAAUAAGUCUAUCACAACUCGAAGUGCUUUCAAUUAUUGUAACUUCAAAUCCUUACAAAUUACAUAUUACAGACAUGAACACUAUGUUUUGACAUAGUGGCUUUUGGCUUGUCCAGAGAAAUUUAGGAUAGAUUUUGAUGUACUAAGGUUCUGUUUACUAUUGAGAUUUUGGAACUUUUGAGCCACACUUGAAAUUUGUAUUAUUCUAAUAGAGUUGUAGCCUUCGAUAUGUGAUUGGUAUUAAUCAUGUGUUAUGUUUACAGCAGUUAAAGGCAUAUUGAAUCAAAAUCCACUUUUGAUUGAGAUUUUAAAGUAGGUUUUUAAUUUGAUAGCCACUCGAGUUCAAAUAUUGGAACCAUAGUGCUUUAUAACCAAGUGAGAGAACUUGUGUCCUAAAAGUUGAGGGCUGCAGAUCGAGUUUUACUACCAACAACAAAAGUUGGUGUUAAGACUUUAGUUCCCCUCCUACUAAUGGUUAAGGAUAAUUAGGACUUUACAUCCCCUCCUAUUAAUAGACAUGGGUUAUUAGGAAUUUUAAAAAAAGGUUUAAAUAUUGAAAAAUUAGGUUAUAAAAUUCAUAAUACAAGAACAGUAAAUCAAGAUAAAAAUUUAAAAAUUUAGAACAAUGAGAGCGUAACUUGUAAGUUUCAAAGAAGCAUGUGCAGAUAUAUGCGUAUCAAUACCCAUUAGGGGUGGGCAUUAAAAUCGGGUUAACCCGAACUGAACCUUCAAUUUAGCAUAGAUAAUGAAUUUAUGCCUGUACUCUAUAAUGCAAAUAAUAUUAUGUUUUUAAUUCAAUUUAGCACCCUACAAGAAGAGAUUACCUUAUCGCUUCCAAUCCUUCCUUUAGAUCUAAGCCACUUCAUGAACUUCUUGAUCCUUGAUUCGUUCCAAAAUGUGAUAGGAAGUAUAUUCCUAUCAGGCUGAUUGUUGUCAUAUGCACCAUUAUGGAGAUAAAAGAUCUGCAUGAGCAACUUAUAAUUAAGAAGAAUAAUAUUAUUCAUGGUAAGCAUAUGCUCAACUUUAGUUGCAGAAACUAUGUCACCUGUAGGAAGUGCAAAGAAAUUCCAAUGUAUGCUGCUUGUUGUUUCCACUAUUUCAUUGUCACCAGAAUGUGAGUUUGAAUGACCCAUCCUUUUAUCUCUCUUUUUGUACCUUGCCUUUUGUUCGGGAGGAAGUUCUUUGUAGGUUUUCCCAAUAUGUUUUCAUAACUGUCAAAAUGAUAAUGAAUAUGUCUUAAAACAUAAAAAACUCACAAAAUAAUAUCUGUACAUGCUACAUUUAAUGAAUAUACUAACCCCAAUCGUAACGGACAAAUCUAAAUUUUCACUUCUCAAACGCUUAACUUCUUCAUUGCUGCAAAAGCAUAACAUCUAAUUACUGAUAUUUGGUAUGGGCGUGUUUCUUUCCCGAUAGGUAAAUCACAACGACUACUUACAAGUAAGAGACAAAUCCAUAAGUUGAAGAAGUUGGAAUUGCAUCCUGACCAUUUGCUUUUAGAAUAAGAGCACUUUUUUUCUGUAAGCCCCCUAGUAGUUGUUUACGCUUUCGUCGGUGACUGUCCAAGAAAAAUUUUAAAUAAUUAAGUGAAGGAUAAUUAUUCCAUCAAUAUGUAUUAAAUUUUUUUUAAAAAAAUGAGUUCCCCCACCUGCUAUUCAAAGUCACUGUGUACUCCUUACUUUUUAAUCUAUAAACAUUCCAUAUAUGGUGGAAUUCAAGCACAAAUUAUAAUUUUAUUUUAUUUUUUUUCCUCAUUUAUACCAAUGAAGAAAAAGAUGACAAGAAUAACAAAGGAAAGAUCUUUAUUUUUGCCCAAGACUAAGACCUCUCACACACUCACAAUAAAUGAAUGACAGAGUGAAAAAAAUUGUAUAUAAUAAAGGGAUGGGAUCAAGAGCUCUCAUUUCUUACUACAAAAUUUACGAAAUCUAAAUAUUUCAACAACAUAAAAUUUAAUGGAUAAUGAUCUUUGCUGCAUACAUUAAAAUCAUGACUAUUACCGUGCCCUCAACUUUGCGUCAUACAAACAAAUUUCAUCAUGAAACAAAGUACAAUGCUUUUUUUUUUAAUAAAAACAUACAUUAAAGGCUGCUGCGAAUAUGUAGGGGAUGAUGGGUUGUAACCAAGAUCAAAAUCAAUGCAUUGAAACCAAUAUGACAAAAUCCAUACUAUGAAUUAUUAUAAACACCUAAUAUAGAGUUAGUAUAUCAGAGGGAUUGAUACCUGGAAUGUACUUCAGCAAAACAGGACCCCUGAAAAUAAGAAAGAAAAGUUUUGCUCAACAUUCCAAAAAAAUAGAAGAAAGUAGAGCAUUUUGUCAGCUCUUUUUUAAAAAUUAUAUCGUUGUAACUUACACAAAAUUCCACUUAGCACAAUCGUAAGAUUAAGAUAAAGGCCUGCUUGCUGCACCAGCUUGAUAAACUUCAGCAGAUCAGAAUUCCCCUCCAAGUAAUACUAAAACUAAUUAAAACAAAAACAAAAACAAAAAAACAAAAAAAGCAAAACAUUUACUAAAGAACUUAUUUAAAAUAUUACCCUAGAUUUGAGACUACAAGCAAACAGGGCCUUCUGAUAAAAACAAAUUACAUGCCAUAAAUAAAAUUAUUACAAGCCCACCAAAGAAAUUUUCAGGGUUAUAGUGAUUACAAACCUUCCCUAACUUUAUUUAUCUUCACCAAUGAAAAUAGGUCAACAUUUAACAUUCUUUUACAACCAAGUACACCAAGUCUUACAAUUAAAGGUUUAAGGUUACAAAGCAUAGUUACUUAAGACUCUUAGCUUUAUCGUAAGGCACCUUAGAAAAUUCUAUUACCACACAAAAACCUGGGCCUAUUUCUUAUAAACACGGCAACAAUCACAUCCAAGGUCAAGCAAAUUCAACAACAAGCCCAUACGGCAUAUACCCAGCACAUACAUUGGCCGAUUUGAGGCACAAUACAAUAGAAUAUUAUCAUAAAACCACCACAAUAUCACUGGAUUCGAAUACAGGAACAAUAGAAAUUUAAUUGUUCAAUUAAAUCAUUACCCCAAAUCACGAAUACCAACGAGACUACAUUAAUUCAUGCCACUGGCAGCAGCACAUUCUUUAAUAAAAUCCUUCAAACAUAAAAAAUCAGCUACAUGCAAAUCUAGAAUUUAAAAGGAAAUAUACAAUAAUUUUUUGAAGAGAAGAAAUGCCUUUCCACUUAUAUUCAAGAUAAUUCAAGAAAAUGACAGGCCCCAAUUCGCAGCUCAUCAAAACAAACCCCAUUACUUGCAGUUGCUUGAUGCUCGAUAAUGUUACCUCUCUUUUUUUUUUCAAUUUAUAAUUUUUUCUUUUUUGUGAAUAACGGAAUCUCAAGAUAAAAUAUUGCAGUAUGACUUAAUUGUAACUCUAUCGGUUCAAAAAUAAAAAUGAGAAGCCCUAGCAAUUAUCAUUCGAUUAUCAAUCCCUAGAAAUCAUCUCAAUAUUUCAAGUAAUAAUUUCUCAAUUGCAAAAUCAAAUUAUUGAAACUGAAAUUUCAAGUAAUAUUAAUAAACUAAACUGAAACUUCAAGCAUAUUUAAAUGACAUAAUAAGAUUCUUAAUCAUAUAUUAAAUUAGAGAGAGAGCUCACCGAAACUAUUGGAUGACAUAAGAGAGAGAUACAGCAAGAGAGAUGAUUUACGACAGUGAAAAUUUGAAGCUAUGACUGACGAAAUGAAGCUGAACGCGAGAAAUUGAGCGACGAAUUGAAGCGAGAGUGACAGAUCGAGUAAGCCUGAGUAAAUGGCACUCUUUCGACUACAUCUUUGCUCUUUGCUGUGAUGGGUGGUGAAUAUUCUUGAAUACCAAGUUCAUUGAUCCAAAAUUCUGGAUGUAGGAGAAAACAAUAGCAGAGAGAAUACGAAGGCUGUUAUUUUGAGGAGGAGAGAGAGGCAUCACAAUCCAACGGUUGUGAUUUUUUAGAUAAGUCAAGUGAUGACAUAAUAACUUAAAAGCUUCAUCUUCCUCUAGCUUCCUUUCGUGAAACCCGAAGCAAUUCCUUCCAUCUCUACGAUAUUAACAAAAGCCAAAAUUUUCAACCAUAAUUACAAUUAAUUUGCUACUUAAACAACGUGAAGUUACAAAAUUUUGGUUUCUGAAUGCGGAGUUAAAAACCUCUAACAUCAAUAUAUUGGGAAUUGUGCCCUCAUCGUCUUAAGAUUAUUUGUUAAUAAUUAUGUAGAAAGGAAAAAAGAUGGAUGAUUUCAAUUUCCACCAAUCGAUAUGCAUGCACGAGUCUGAACUGAGACUGAGAAGACUAUUAGUACAGAGAUGGAGGAAAAUAAUCUACUGAAGCACCGAGUUGGCCAAUUUGGAUUUUUCGGAGAAGGUUGAUCUUUAAAGUUCAUUGUUUAUUCAACCAACCAUAAAAAAAUUUAUUGUUUAUUCAACCAAUCAUAAACAAUCUUUUGUAUAUUAAAAAAAAAUUUAAAUGUUCCAGAUGAAAUGGUAUUUUGAAUAUUAUCUGCAAUAUUCACGUGAUUGGUACCACGUUUUUUAUUUUCUUAUUAACAAAAUUAUUUAUUUCGUAGGGACCGCAUUCACGCUUCCAAGUUUCUCAUACAUAUGAAAUUUAACCAUUGCGGUUAAUUAGCAAGUUUUGACCUGGGAAGUCGGAUCCGGCCCGCAUCCACAAGAAUCUGAAAGAUUCGGAUCUGAAAAAAUGCGGAUUCAGACGUAAGAAAUUAAAUUCCGCACGGAUCCCGAUCCGGAUCCGAAUACAAGUGCAUCAAAGCCGGAUAUUCGGAUCCGGCUAAUUUUUAUAUUAAAUUAAAAUAUAUAUAUUAACUUAAAAACAAAUUUAACCUAACUCCCACAUUCACACGCACUCACAACACUUUACCAGCAGCCGCAACCCACAAAUACCUAACACCCAAAUCCCCCCAAUUCCGUAGGAUGUCGCCGUCUGCCUCACGGCCUCGCCUAAGCCUCGUGUCCAAGCCUCGAUCUGAGUCGGUUGCUGUCGUUGCGCGCUGCACGCCUCGAUCUGAGUCGGUCGCUGCCGCUGCACGCUGCACGCCUCGAUCUGAGUGAGUUGCUGCCGCUACACGCUCGAUCUGAGUCAGUUGCUGUCGAAUCCUCGCCAUCGAAGAAGCCUCUUGCCGUCGAAUCCUCGCCAUCGAAGAAGCCUCUUGCCGUCGAAUCCUCGCCAUCGGAGAAGCCUCGUCUAAGCACUUUAAUUAAAAUGGUAUUGGCAAGCCUUGUUGAAUCCUUUGGCCUUUGUUGAUUCAAUUUAGUUUAAUUUUGAAUAAAUUUCUUUGCUGAUUCGUUUCAUCACUUUAAUUAAAUGCAUUAAUUUUCAAUAUAAUGUAAAUGUUUAAUAGGUUUUGGGAUUAAGUUUUAAUUUGGAAAAUUGUUGAAUUUUCAAAAUUAAAAAUUUAAAUGAAAUCUUGGUGAAACCUGUUGUCAUAUGCUGAUUAACAUAGCUAGUCUCUGAAAUAAUUUCUUGAUUCACUAAUUAUGAGUUCAAAUUUGAUGCAGAAUGGGCAACCAGCCUACUGCAAACAAAUCUUCUGGAACAGUUCAGAUGAAGGGACAGCCAAUCCAGCAAAACAGUUAUAAACAACUCUAAAUAAAUUCAUAUACGCAUUGUAACUAAUUACAGCCUUGAUACUUCAUUUGGUUUUUGUUAAUUUUCUAUACAGUUGUGCUGUGCAUUAAAGUUUUGUUAAAUGAAAUCGGUAGGUGAGGAUUAAUUAAUCAAUUAAUUAAGAUCCAGUUAAUGUAAUUAAUUUUAUUGGAUUUUUUUAAUUCGAGUUCUAAAUUAAUCAAUUAAUUUAGAUUCAUGUGAAAUUGAAGUGAAUUAGUUUCGAUCUGUUUUUCGUCCUAUGUUUGUCUCUGUUUACUCGUACUUUUUUUUUAAAGAGUAUAAGUAACAUUGCAGUACAGUUAGCCCUUGCGUGUUUAAUUAGCAAUUGAAAACUACUGUUGCUGAUGAGGUAGAACAUUAUAACACUGUUGCUGAUGAGGCAGCUGGUAAUUCUUCUGGUGAAGAUAUUAAGACUAUUAAAGCUGAAAUGUAAUUAGAGAAAUAUAAUGCAUUCCCUUAGUUUGCUUUUUGUUUUUUAUAUUUGUUUUGCUAAUGCUUUGCUUAGAUUGCUUUUUGUUUUUUGAGAUUUUAUUGGCUUAGUCAUGGGGUAUUGUUUUCUCUUCUAAUUUCUAUUUUUGUUGUUAUGGGAUUUGAUUGUAGUGUACAUAUACGAAAAUUAUGUAAUCAAGUGCUUUUAAUAAAUCAUGAUCGAUUUACUAUUAAUUAAUUAAAUUUAAUUUACUAAAAUUACUUAUGUACACGAUUAAAAUAAUUUUAAUUCCAUGAUAUAUAUACGCGCGCGCGCACACAAACAAAAUGCAAUUAACUUUGAAAUAUAAAAUAUUUAAAAUAAUCACCGUACUAACAAUAUUUGCCAGAGUCUGAUGAAGAGAAUAUACACACACAUAUAUAAGCGUACAGUGGAAGGAUAAAUAAAAGAAAAUAAAGUUUCUACAGCUGAAUAAUGCAAACUCAUUUUUUUUAAGUAUUUUAUUGUUUAAUUCAAAAACCCAUUAUAUACAUGAUAAAGACUCACCAACGCCGAACCAUAUUAAUUUAAAUUAAUUUUCAACUGAGAUUUGAAUUUUAAAAUUACAUACACAAACACGCCCAAUUUUUUUUAAAAAGUACUAACAAUAAAAUAUUUCAACCGUCCUCUGUUUAGCCGCCAAAAACUGAUUUACCAUUUAUUACAACGAAAGGUAUACAUAGACGGAUAAAUAAUGCUAAUCAACCAAGUCCAAUCAUAAUAAUUUGAUUAUCAAUAUAUUAACCAUGUCCAAUCAUAAUAUUUAAUAAUCACCAAACUUACAAUUCCCAAGUUAGAUUAUACGUAUGAGAAUCUAGCAAGUCCAAUGAUAAUAAUUUGAUUUUUAUUAUAUUAACUGUGUCCAAUCAUGCUAUUUUAAUAAAGAUCACUCGAAUAUUUAUUUGUCCAACGGGUAAAAUUUCAAAACAAUUUUUGCCAAAGUCCUCCUCAGCUGAAUAAUGCAAACCCGUUAUGUUAUUCUACCAUUUCUUAAAUUUAAAGCAUUCCACCAUUUAAUAAAAAAAUUCAAAAACCCAUUAUAUACAAUACAAAAAGCCCACCGACACCAAACCAUAUUAAUUUAAAAUAGUUUUCAAUUGAGAUUUGAAUUUUAAAAUUACAUACACAAACACACCCGAUUUUAAAAAAUAAUAAUAAUGCUAACAAUAAAAUAUUUCAGCCGUCCUCUGUUCAAUCAUCAAAAAUCCAUUUGUCAUCUAUAGCAACACUCGGUAUAUGGGUUAACAAGUCCCAAUAUUGUCCUCCAUCCUUUCUGCACUUCUCUUCUAUCAACGGACAACUCCAGAUCUGUAAUUGCAAAAGUGAGGAAGGCAGGCCCUUCUCUGGAAAGUAUUUGAACUUGGGACAAUCAUAGAGAUACAAAUGAGUGAGGUUUUGAAGAUCAACAAUUGAAGAAGAUAGGCGUUCCAGAUUUGGAAAAUCUUGAAUCCACAGAGACGUUAGAGAGGCAGGAAGAGGAAGCGCGGUCCCUAAUCUUUUGUCCUCUAGUGGAAAUGACACCAUCACCGUGUCGUCAUCACAUCCUUGGAUUAUGAGUUCUCGCAGAGAGGAGAAUCUGUGAAAUCCCCAGCCCCGCUCAAUCAUUGACUUCCAAAUCUCCAUAUUACCCCAAAUACAAAGUGACUGAAGGUUGGUGGGAAGGCCAUCUUCUUCAAGGCUUGGAAGCUCACCUCCUCUUCUUAUUGUUAAUUUUUGAAGAGAGGUCAGAUUGUGCAAUCCCUUGGGUAAGGCCUCUAGUCUCUCACAAUCAGAUAUCGUCAGCCUCCUGAGUUUCGCACAAGGCAAUCCCCCUUCGGGAAAGGACACCAGGUUUCCACAACUCCGUAUAGUAAUCCCUCGAAGCUGCCGGAGAUUAUGUAAACCACUCGGUAAAUUUUUUAGAUUUUCACAAUCAUCUACACUAAUUGUUUCAAGAGAUGUGUUGUUGUCCAACCUUUCUGCUAUUGACUCCAGCUUUGAACAUCCAUAAACACGAAGGGACUUAAGAGACGGAGGUAGAUUGCCAACUUCAAGGGACUCAAGCGUCGCAGGUAACUCGUUUUUUGAAAAUAUACAUGUCAGUGAUGGACAAUCCCUAAUUUCUAACUUCUCAAGAAGAGAUGAGGUGUACCUUCUGUUGCUGCUGCUUCUGCUACUCUGGAUGCCCUCUUCCACUGUCAAAGUCCUUAUAUUAUCGCAACACCAGAUCAUCAACUUCUUAAGGCUUGAUGGUAGCUGGACAGCAGCAAUAUAUGUCAACGAAUGGCAAUACUCAAUAU